rnacentral:lncRNA from 1 species
UUUCGCCAUUUUUUGGACAUUUACGAAGAAAAAGAAAAAAAGAAGAACAAUGAAAAUCAGAAGACCAGAACAUACCUGUUGAAGUCUUGAGAAGAAGAAGUCGCUGCUGUUGAAGAAGAAAAAGAAAAACCCUUGUUGAUGCUUUGAGAUUUUUUCAGAAAUCAAAGUACAUGAAGAAGAGUAAGAAGUCGCUGCUGUUGGAUGUUGAAGUACCCUAGUCGCUGCUGUUGAAGAAGUCCAGACCAGUGUUUAAUCCAAAAACCUCGUUUUUUAUAAAAUAGGGUUUGGGUAUUUUAAAACAGAGAAGCAGACGCUUCUGUCUCUUCAGCUCGCUUUACCACUUCUCCCUUUUUUACUGAGAAGCUGUCGCUUUUCCUGACUUGAGUCGCUUCAACAGGCUGAAGCGCUGCCCUUCGCACUUCGCAUCGCUUCUCGCUUAAAGCGAGGAAACGAGCGCUUCUUUAAUCACUGGUUACAACUAGUGAAUAAUGUUACAUAGAUUCUUUUUUCCCAUUAUAUUAUGUGCUUAGCUACGUUGAUUUCAAAAGAUGUUUAGGUCUUUUGGAAUCACCUUGCUCUUUGUGAUUUUAGGUCGAUCUUGUCCUGUUUUAACACUGUCAAUAAUAUCGUUGUCCUUAACCCGUACAUCUAGAGGUUAGACAUGGACUAACUCAGGCAACCUUCUCAUAUUUUAUCUUCUAUGUGUACUACUUGCACCAUGUGUCUGCUGUGAUUAUCUCUAGUCGUCCAAUCUUGUAUGAUCGUAUGUUCAUUUUAUUAUCUACAGUUCUAC